rnacentral:rRNA from 1 species
GAUGAACGCUGGCGGCGUGCCUAAUACAUGCAAGUCGAGCGAACGGACGAGAAGCUUGCUUCUCUGAUGUUAGCGGCGGAAGGGUGAGUAAAACGUGGAUAACCUACCUAUAAGACUGGGAUAAAUUCGGGAAACCGUAGCUAAUACCGGAUAAUAUUUUGAACCGCAUGGUUCAAAAGUGAAAGACGGUCUUGCUGUCACUUAUAGAUGGAUCCGCGCUGCAUUAGCUAGUUGGUAAGGUAACGGCUUACCAAGGCAACGAUGCAUAGCCGGCCUGAGAGGGUGAUCGGCCACACUGGAACUGAGACACGGUCCAGACUCCUACGGGAGGCAGCAGUAGGGAAUCUUCCGCAAUGGGCGAAAGCCUGACGGAGCAACGCCGCGUGAGUGAUGAAGGUCUUCGGAUCGUAAAACUCUGUUAUUAGGGAAGAACAUAUGUGUAAGUAACUGUGCACAUCUUGACGGUACCUAAUCAGAAAGCCACGGCUAACUACGUG